AGUCGUAACAAGGUUUCCGUAGGUGAACCUGCGGAAGGAUCAUUAUAGUAUUCUAUUGCCAGCGCUUAAUUGCGCGGCGAUAAACCUUACACACAUUGUCUAGUUUUUUUGAACUUUGCUUUGGGUGCAUCAGCCUAGCUGCGUGCCCAAAGGUCUAAACACAUUUUUUAAUGUUAAAACCUUUAACCAAUAGUCAUGAAAAUUUUUAACAAAAAUUAAAAUCUUCAAAACUUUCAACAACGGAUCUCUUGGUUCUCGCAACGAUGAAGAACGCAGCGAAAUGCGAUACGUAUUGUGAAUUGCAGAUUUUCGUGAAUCAUCGAAUCUUUGAACGCACAUUGCACCCUCUGGUAUUCCAGAGGGUAUGCCUGUUUGAGCGUCAUUUCUCUCUCAAACCUUCGGGUUUGGUAUUGAGUGAUACUCUGUCAAGGGUUAACUUGAAAUAUUGACUUAGCAAGAGUGUACUAAUAAGCAGUCUUUCUGAAAUAAUGUAUUAGGUUCUUCCAACUCGUUAUAUCAGCUAGGCAGGUUUAGAAGUAUUUUAGGCUCGGCUUAACAACAAUAAACUAAAAGUUUGACCUCAAAUCAGGUAGGACUACCCGCUGAACUUAAGCAUAUCAAUAAGCGGAGGAA
rnacentral:misc_RNA from 1 species